GCUUAACACAUGCAAGUCGAGGGGAAACGGCAUUGAGUGCUUGCACUCUUUGGACGUCGACCGGCGCACGGGUGAGUAACGCGUAUCCACCUUCCCAUUACUGUGGGAUAACCUGCCGAAAGGCAGACUAAUACCGCAUAGUCUUCGAUGACGGCAUCAGAUUUGAAGUAAAGAUUUAUCGGUAAUGGAUGGGGAUGCGUCUGAUUAGCUUGUUGGCGGGGUAACGGCCCACCAAGGCUACGAUCAGUAGGGGUUCUGAGAGGAAGGUCCCCCACAUUGGAACUGAGACACGGUCCAAACUCCUACGGGAGGCAGCAGUGAGGAAUAUUGGUCAAUGGACGGAAGUCUGAACCAGCCAAGUAGCGUGCAGGAUGACGGCCCUAUGGGUUGUAAACUGCUUUUGUAUGGGGAUAAAGUUAGGGACGUGUCCCCAUUUGCAGGUACCAUACGAAUAAGGACCGGCUAAUUCCGUGCCAGCAGCCGCGGUAAUACGGAAGGUCCAGGCGUUAUCCGGAUUUAUUGGGUUUAAAGGGAGCGUAGGCUGGAGAUUAAGUGUGUUGUG
rnacentral:rRNA from 1 species